CUAGAUUGGUGACCCAUUUCCUUCUUCAGCAGACUAAGAAAAGCAAAGAAUCACUGGUGUUUGCCUGUCAUGACCAAAUUUCCAUUUUAUCAUUUGGGAUGUGAUGAUUCUCAUUGCUACAUAAGAGGAGUUGGGAUCUCCCUGAUGCUUUACUCAUAAUGGUGAAAGAAUUGAGGCGAUCUAGACUGGACAAGAUGAGACAAAAAAAAAAGAAGUAUGUACAAUCAUACAAAGAAAGAGGAAGAAAUUAUUAGAGGGAGAGAUGUGAGUUCGAUCCUGGAGCUUGAGCUUGGAGGAGCCCUGCAAACAGCUUGCCUUCAGAUUGGUCAUGUGAGUGAUAAGAACUGACUCCCUUCUCUGCCUUGGCUCUCCAAGG
rnacentral:lncRNA from 1 species